AUUGAACGCUGGCGGCAGGCUUAACACAUGCAAGUCGAGCGAGCGGCGGACGUGUGAGUAAUGUCUGGGACACUGCCUGAUGGAGGGGGAUCACUACUGGACACUGUAGCUAAUACCGCAUACCAGCAGCUGUGCCCAGAUGGGAUGAGCUAGUAGGUGGGGUAACGGCUCACCUAGGCGACGAUCCCUAGCUGGUCUGAGAGGAUGACCAGCCACACUGGAACUGAGACACGGUCCAGACUCCUACGGGAGGCAGCAGGGGGGAAUAUUGCACAAUGGGCGCAAGCCUGAUGCAGCCAUGCCGCGUGUAUGAAGAAGGCCUGCGGGUGGUAAAGCACUUUCAGCGAGGAGGCGUUACUCGCAGAAGAAGCACCGGCUAACUCCGUGCCAGCAGCCGCGGUAAUAC
rnacentral:rRNA from 1 species